rnacentral:rRNA from 1 species
UACAGAGGGUGCAAGCGUUGUUCGGAAUUACUGGGCGUAAAGCGCAUGUAGGCGGAUCCAUAAGUCGGGCGUGAAAUCCCCAGGCUCAACCUGGGAACUGCGCUCGAAACUGUGGGUCUUGAGUGUCGGAGAGGAUGGCGGAAUUCCUGGUGUAGAGGUGAAAUUCGUAGAUAUCAGGAGGAACACCGGUGGCGAAGGCGGCCAUCUGGACGACAACUGACGCUGAGAUGCGAAAGCGUGGGGAGCAAACAGG